AGUGAACGCUGGCGGUAGGCCUAACACAUGCAAGUCGAACGGCAGCACAGUAAGAGCUUGCUCUUACGGGUGGCGAGUGGCGGACGGGUGAGGAAUACAUCGGAAUCUACUUUUUCGUGGGGGAUAACGUAGGGAAACUUACGCCAAUACCGCAUACGACCUACGGGUGAAAGCAGGGGAUCUUCGGACCUUGCGCGAUUGAAUGAGCCGAUGUCGGAUUAGCUAGUUGGCGGGGUAAAGGCCCACCAAGGCGACGAUCCGUAGCUGGUCUGAGAGGAUGAUCAGCCACACUGGAACUGAGACACGGUCCAGACUCCUACGGGAGGCAGCAGUGGGGAAUAUUGGACAAUGGGCGCAAGCCUGAUCCAGCCAUACCGCGUGGGUGAAGAAGGCCUUCGGGUUGUAAAGCCCUUUUGUUGGGAAAGAAAAGCAGCAGGUUAAUACCCCGCGGUUCUGACGGUACCCAAAGAAUAAGCACCGGCUAACUUCGUG
rnacentral:rRNA from 1 species